rnacentral:lncRNA from 1 species
CUUCCUUUCUUCCUCUUUCCUGGCCCCACUCACCGCAGGGCUGGUGCACCCAAGCUGGAAAGGGGCUGGAUGGUGGCGCCAGCAGGAAAUGCCUUCCAGAGGGUGAAGAGGCAGAGGGCAAGGAGGACAUGGGGUGCUGCUGUCCUGACAUCAAUUGUUGAAGAGACUAUUCUUACUCAUUGAAUUGUCUUGGAAUCCUCGUUGGAAAUCAAUUGAGCAUAAAGGAGGAGGAGACCCAGGAGACGAGGCUGCCAUUCUGGCUCUGCCCCUAGAGGAAAGGAGGAUACCUUAAGCCACCUUGCCUCUUGCAGAAUCAACGAGGUCAACAGGAAGAUGGGGGAUGCGACCAGCUCACGUGAAGUCCUGUC